GACGAACGCUGGCGGCGUGCUUAACACAUGCAAGUCGAACGGAAAGGCCCUGCUUUUGUGGGGUGCUCGAGUGGCGAACGGGUGAGUAACACGUGAGUAACCUGCCCUUGACUUUGGGAUAACUUCAGGAAACUGGGGCUAAUACCGGAUAGGAGCUCCUGCUGCAUGGUGGGGGUUGGAACGUUUCGGCGGUUGGGGAUGGACUAGCGGCUUAUCAGCUUGUUGGUGGGGUAGUGGCUUACCAAGGCUUUGACGGGUAGCCGGCCUGAGAGGGUGACCGGGCACAUUGGGACUGAGAUACGGCCCAGACUCCUACGGGAGGCAGCAGUGGGGAAUAUUGCACAAUGGGCGGAAGCCUGAUGCAGCAGCGCCGCGUGCGGGAUGACGGCCUUCGGGUUGUAAACCGCUUUCGCCUGUGACGAAGCGUGAGUGACGGUAAUGAAUAAAGAAGCACCGGCUAACUACGUG
rnacentral:rRNA from 1 species